CCAAUGCGGCGGGCCUAAACAUGCAGUCGAGCGAACACAUGAGGAUCUUGCGCCUCUGACGUUAGCGACGGACGGAUGGGUGACACGUGGCUGACCUACUUAUAAGACUGGAAUAACUCCGGGAGACCGGGGCUGAUGCCGGAUAAUAUGCCCAACCGCGGGGUUCUGGGAAGAUUCACGGCUUUGCUGUCUGUUAUUGAUGGACCCGCACCAUAUUAUUUGUUUGGUAAUGUAACGGCUUACCAACGAUCCCAUACUGGUCCGACCUGAUAAGGUGAUCGGCCACACUGGAACUGAGACCCGGACCCCACUCCUACGGGAGGCAGCAGAAUGGAAUCUUCCGCAAUGGACCAAGACCUGACCGAGCAACGCGUCGUGAGUGAUGAAUGUCUUCGGAUCGUAAAUCUCUGUUAUUAGGGAAGAACAAGUGCAUAAGUAACUAUGCGCACCUUGACUGUACCAAAACACAACGCCACGGUUAACUACAUGCCACCCGCCACGGUAGUACGUACGUGGCAAGCGUUAUCCUGAAUUAUUGGGCGUAAAGCGCGCGUAUGCGGUUUUUUAAAUCUGAUGUGAACGGCCACGGCUCGGCCGUGGAGGGUCAUUGGAAACUGGAAAACUUGAGUGCAGAAGAGGAAAGUGGAAUUCCAUGUGUAGCGGUGAAAUGCGCACAGAUAUGGAGGAACACCAGUGGCGAACGCGACUUUCUGGUCUGCAACUGACGCUGAUGUGCGAAAGCGUGGGGAUCAAACUAGAUUACAUACCCUGGUAGUCCACGCCGUAAACCAAUGAGUGCUAAGUGUUACGGGGUUUCCGCCCCUUAGAGCUGCAGCUAACGCAUUACGACUCGGCCUGGCGAGUACGGGGGUAAGGCUGAAACUCAUAGGAAUUGACGCGGACCCGCACUAGCGCUUGGAGCAUGUGUUUUAUUUCAAACCACCACCCAUAACUUUACUUGAUCUUGACAUCCUUUUAACAGAUCUACAAGAAAGAGUCUUCCCCUUUCAGGAGGACAAAUUGACACAGUGGUGCCAUGUCUUGUCGUCAUCCUCGUGAUCUUGAGGAUGAUGGCUCUACAUCCCACGCAACCCACCCGCUACCUCUUUAAUCCUUACU
rnacentral:rRNA from 1 species